rnacentral:misc_RNA from 1 species
UGUUCGAGCGUCAUUUCAACCCUCAAGCCCAGCUUGGUAUUGGGUGUCACCUGGUAAUGGUGUACCUUAAAAUCAGUGGCGGUGCCAUCUGGCUCUAAGCGUAGUAAUUUAUCUCGCUAUUGGGUCCGGUGGUUGCUUGCCAAUAACCCCCAACUUCUAAGGUUGACCUCGGAUCAGGUAGGGAUACCCGCUGAACUUAA